GCCCAGGUAGCUCAAUUGGCAGAGCAGAUGAUUUGUAAUCAUCAGGUUGAAGGUUCAACUCCUUUCUUGGGCU
rnacentral:tRNA from 1 species